UGAUCUUUUUUUUUGGAAAAA
rnacentral:piRNA from 1 species